rnacentral:tRNA from 1 species
CUCGGUAUGGUGAAAUGGUAUCACUCUGCGUUUGGGACGCAGGAGCGUAGGUUCGAUUCCUGCUACCGAGACCA